GUGAGGAAUAUUGGUCAAUGGACGAGAGUCUGAACCAGCCAAGUAGCGUGAAGGAUGAAGGUCCUACGGAUUGUAAACUUCUUUUAUAAGGGAAUAAACCCUCCCACGUGUGGGAGCUUGUAUGUACCUUAUGAAUAAGCAUCGGCUAACUCCGUGCCAGCAGCCGCGGUAAUACGGAGGAUGCGAGCGUUAUCCGGAUUUAUUGGGUUUAAAGGGAGCGCAGACGGGAGAUUAAGUCAGUUGUGAAAGUUUGCGGCUCAACCGUAAAAUUGCAGUUGAUACUGGUUUCCUUGAGUGCAGUUGAGGCAGGCGGAAUUCGUGGUGUAGCGGUGAAAUGCUUAGAUAUCACGAAGAACUCCGAUUGCGAAGGCAGCACACUAAUCCGUAACUGACGUUCAUGCUCGAAAGUGUGGGUAUCAAACAGGAUUAGAUACCCUGGUAGUCC
rnacentral:rRNA from 1 species